rnacentral:sRNA from 1 species
GAUGAAGAUGAAGAAACUGAACAUGAAACAAAGGCUGGUCCUGAACGGCUUGACCAGAUGGUGCAUCCUGUAGCCGAGUGCCUGGACAUCCUGAUGUCUUUGGUUUUGUCCUACAUGAAGGAUGUCUGCUAUGUAGAUGGUAAAUCACAGUAGCUACUGUUUAUUGAACACCUGCAGUGUACCUG